GUUUCCUCAAGCUGCUUCAGAUCUGGGUGAUAAAAAUACUUUAUGGAGUUUUAUGAAGGCUUUAGAAAUAGUGUGUGAUUGUCCAGAUGUAAGAAUGCCUUUAUGAAAUUUAAAGAACAUCAGAGUAUCAGAGAUAUAGGUUCUUUUAGUAUACACUGCUAAAUACAUUUGUCUUACAGAAUUAGACAGCAAUCAAGAUCUGAAUUAAAAAUCCUCCUUCAGUUAUGAUACAAGACAUUACUGGUAAUUAUUUUCCAUACAGUACAAAGAAGAUAAGUUCUCCCUCUGUUUCCAGAUGGCAAAGAUAGAAGCUGUGUUCCUGUUUGUUCUACCCCUAAAAACAAACCCUGGAAACAACAACAACAACAACAACAACAACAACAACAACAACAACAACAACAAAAGGAACAUUCAAGUGUGAAGGAAGGCAAAUGAAAAAUGGUGUGUUGUUCCCAAGGUACUAUCAUUGUUGUGGAG
rnacentral:lncRNA from 1 species